rnacentral:rRNA from 1 species
ACGAACGCUGGCGGCGUGCUUAACACAUGCAAGUCGAACGGAAAGGCCCUUCUUUUGUGGGGUGCUCGUUUUGCGAACGGUUGAGUAACACGUGAGUAACCUGCCCUUGACUUUGGGAUUACUUCAGGAAACUUGGGCUAAUACCGUCUAGUAGCUCCUGCUUCUUGGUUGUGUUUGGAACGUUUCGUCGGUUUGUGAUUGACUCGCGGCUUAUCAGCUUGUUGGUUGGGUAGUGGCUUACCAAGGCUUUGACGGGUAGCCGGACUGAGAUGGUGACAGGAAAAAUUGGGACUGAGAUACGGCACAGACUGCUACGGGAGGAAGCAGUGGGGAAUAUUGCAAAAUGGGAGGAAGCCUGAUGCAGCAACGACGGGUGCGGGAUGACGGCCUUCGGGUUGUAAACCGCUUUCGCCUGUGACGAAGCGUGAGUGACGGUAAUGGGUAAAGAAGCACCGGCUAACUACGUG